GACGAACGCUGGCGGCGUGCUUAACACAUGCAAGUCGAACGGAAGGGCCCUGCUUUUGUGGGGUGCUCGAGUGGCGAACGGGUGAGUAACACGUGAGUAACCUGCCCUUGACUUUGGGAUAACUUCAGGAAACUGGGGCUAAUACCGGAUAGGAGCUCCUGCUGCAUGGUGGGGGUUGGAAAGUUUCGGCGGUUGGGGAUGGACUCGCGGCUUAUCAGCUCGUUGGUGGGGUAGUGGCUUACCAAGGCUUUGACGGGUAGCCGGCCUGAGAGGGUGACCGGCCACAUUGGGACUGAGAUACGGCCCAGACUCGUACGGGAGGCAGCAGUGGGGAAUAUUGCACAAUGGGCGGAAGCCUGAUGCAGCAACGCCGCGUGCGGGAUGACGGCCUUCGGGUUGUAAACCGCUUUCGCCUGUGACGAAGCGUGAGUGACGGUAAUGGGUAAAGAAGCACCGGCUAACUACGUGCCAGCAGCCGCCGUAA
rnacentral:rRNA from 1 species